rnacentral:rRNA from 1 species
GAUGAACGCUAGCGGCAGGCCUAAUACAUGCAAGUCGAGGGGUAGUGGUUGCUUGCAGCCAUGAGACCGGCGCACGGGUGCGUAACGCGUAUGCAACCUACCUUCAUCUGGGGGAUAGCCCGGAGAAAUCCGGAUUAAUACCGCAUAAAAUCACAGUACGGCACCGUACAAUGAUCAAACAUUUAUGGGAUGGAGAUGGGCAUGCGUGUCAUUAGUUAGUUGGCGGGGUAACGGCCCACCAAGACCGCGAUGACUAGGGGAUCUGAGAGGAUGACCCCCCACACUUGUACUGAGACACGGACCAGACUCCUACGGGAGGCAGCAGUAAGGAAUAUUGGUCAAUGGGCGCAAGCCUGAACCAGCCAUGCCGCGUGCAGGAAGACGGCCCUCUGGGUUGUAAACUGCUUUUAUUCGGGAAUAAACCUGCUUACGUGUAAGUAGCUGAAUGUACCGAAGGAAUAAGGAUCGGCUAACUCCGUGCCAGCAGCCGCAGUAAUAC